UGGUCUGAGAGGCUGUUUGUUAUGAUUUCAGUUGUUUUGCAUUUGCUGAGCAGUGCUUUACUUCCAAUUAUAUGGUCAGUUUUAGAGUAGGUGUGAUGUGGUGCUGAGAAGAAUGUAUAUUCUGUGGAUUUGGGGUGGAGAGUUCUGUAAAUGUCUAUCAGGUUUGCUUGUUCCAGGUCUGAGUUCAAGCCCUGGAUAUCCUUGUUGAUUUUCUGUCUAGUUGAUCUGUCUAAUGUUGACAGUGGAGUGUUAAAGUCUUCCACUAUUAUCGUGUGGGAGUCUAAGUCUCUUUGUAAAUCGUUAAGAACUUGCCUUAUGUAUCUGGGUGCUCCUGUAUUGGGUCCAUAUAUGUUUAGGAUCGUUAGUUCUUCUUGUUGUAUCGAUCCUUUUACCAUUAUGUGAUGGUCUUCUUUGUCUUUUUUGAUGUUUGUUGCUUUAAAGUCUAUUUAAUCAGAGAUAAGAAUUGCAACUCCUGCUUUCUUUUGCUCUCCAUUUGCUUGAUCUUCCUCCAUCCCUUUAUUUUGAGCCUUUGUGUAUCCUUGCAUGUGAGAUGGGUUUCCUGGAUACAGCACACUGAUGGGUUUUGGAUUUUUAUCCAAUUUGCCAGUCUGUGUCUUUUGAUUGGUGCAUUUAGUCCAUUUACAUUUAGGGUUAAUAUUGUUAUGUGUGAAUUUGAUACUGCCAUUUUGAUGCUAAGUGGCUGUUUUGCCUGUUAGUUGUUGUAGAUUCUUCAUUAUGUUGAAGCUCUUUAGCAUUCAGUGUGAUUUUGGAGUGACGGGUACUGGUUGAUCCUUUCUAUGUGUAGUGCCUCUUUUAGGAGCUCUUGUAAAGCAGGCCUGGUGGUGACAAAAUCUCUGAGUACUUGCUUGUUCGCAAAGGAUUUUAUUUUUUCUUCACUUAUGAAGCUCAGUUUGGCUGGAUAUGAAAUUCUGGGUUGAAAGUUCUUUUCUUUAAGAAUGUUGAAUAUUGGCCCCCACUCUCUUCUGGCUUGUAGUGUUUCUGCUGAGAGAUCUGCUGUGAGUAUGAUGGGCUUCCCUUUGUGGGUGACCCGACCUUUCUCUCUGGCUGCCCUUAGUAUUCUCUCCUUUAUUUCAACCCUGUUGAAUCUGACGAUUAUGUGCCUUGGGGUUGCUCUUCUUGCGGAAUAUCUUUGUGGUGUUCUCUGUAUUUCCUGCAAUUGAGUGUUGGCCUGUCUUGCUAGGUGGGGGAAAUUUUCCCAGAUGAUGUCCUGAAGAGUAUUUUCCAGCUUGGAUUCAUUCUCUUCGUCCCCUUCUGGUACACCUAUCAAACGUAGGUUAGGUCUUUUCACAUAGUCCCACAUUUCAUGGAGACUUUGUUCAUUCCUUUUUGUGCUUUUUUCUCUGAUCUUGGUUUCUCGUUUUAUUUCAUUGAGUUGGUCUUCGACUUCAGAUAUUCUUUCUUCUGCUUGGUCAGCUCAGCUAUUGAAACUUGUGUUUGCUUCGCGAAGUUCUCGUAUUGUGUUUUUCAGCUCCUUUAAUUCAUUCAUAUUCCUCUCUAAGUUAUCCAUUCUUGUUAUCAUUUCCUCAAAUCUUUUUUCAAAUCUUUUUUCAAGGUUCUUAGUUUCUUUGCAUUGAUUUAAUACAUGAUCUUUUAGCUCACAAAAGUUUCUCAUUAUCCACCUUCUCAAGUCUAAUUCCAUCAUUUCGUCACAGUCAUUCUCCGUCCAGCUUUGUUCCCUUGCUGGUGAGGAGUUUUGGUCCUUUCUAGGAGGCGAGGUGUUCUGGUUUCGGGUGUUUUCCUCCUUUUUGCGCUGGUUUCUUUCCAUCUUUGUGGAUUUUUCCGCUGGUCGUCUGCGUAGUUGCUGACUUUUCGAUUGGGUCUCUGAGUGGACACCCAGAAUGUUGAUGAUGAAGUAUUUCUGUUGCUUGGUUUUCCUUCUACCAGUCUAGCCCCUUCGCUGUACGACUGCUGAGGUCCGCUCCAGACCCUGCUUGUCUGGGGUGCGCCUCUAGCAGCAGUGGCACAGCGAGGGAUGCUAGCAGUUUCUUUUUCUGCUAUCUUUGUCCCAGGAUGAUGCCUGCCUAAUGUCAGUCUUUUGGAUAUAGGGGGGUCAGGGAGCUGCUUGAGGAGACAGUUUGUACUUUAUAGGGGCUUAAUUGCUGAGCUGUGCACUCUGUUGUUCCUUCAGGGCUGUUAGGCUGCUAUGUUUGAUUCUGCUGCAACAGAGCUCAUUAAAAAAACCUUUUUUUUUUUUCUCAAAUGCUCUGUGUUGAGGGGUUUGGGCUUUAUUUUUGGAUGUUCGAUGAGGUGUCCUGCCCAGCUAGAAGGUAGACUAGCCACUGGCUGCCGAGGCUCCGCCCUG
rnacentral:lncRNA from 1 species